CUUCUUCUCUCUCUUGCAUGGCCGAGCUGCACAUGGAGGGGAAGGGGCUAGGGUUUCAAAUUUUCCUUCUUUGAUUUCUUCAUCAUCCAUCCACCAAAUCCAAUGACCCACCACAUGAAAUUGAUUGGAAACCACUCAAUGAAUCCAUUCCACCUAUCCAUUUGAGCUAUAGUUGAGUGUGUGAAGAGUUAUUCCUCCUCUCAUUUUCGAGUUACUAUUCAUUGGAGGAGAAAAAGUGAGUUUUUGGAUGGAGCUUGGCUUGGAGAUUGCUCUCUAGGCUUUGUACAAGUGUUUAGAGGUGUGCCUAGGGAUUGAGAAGGAUCGGAAAUCUCUUGAAGCGAUAAAAGUAACUUGUUCCACAAGUAAGCGUAUUGGUAAAGCUUCAAGAGGUGCCCAGAUUUCCGGUGAGUCCUCACUAGGCAGGGACACGACACGUGGCUGAGGCAGUUGACAGACCGGAUUUUGAGUGGCUGUAGGCUGCUACCUUUUUGGAGUGUUUGAUGUAUUUUAGUAUUUUCGCAUUUGAUGGAUCAUGAUAUUGAUCCUUUAUUU